GCCGUUGUAGCUCAGUUGGUAGAGCACACCCAUGGUAAGGGUGGGGUCACGGGUUCGACUCCCGUCAAUGGCUCCA
rnacentral:tRNA from 1 species